GUUACACUAUGUUCGGUUUAAGUUUGUUGCUUAAAAUUCUCACGGUUGGAUUAAUAAAAAGCGCGCAAAUUCCCAGCGAAUCUCAUUUGUGAUCGACGGCACCGUCGCGCACGUUUGAGUCACUCGUUGCUUUGCGUUCAAUUUUCGUGAGGCUCGCGUAAAGCUUUGUACCUUAAAGGUCGCUCACUCGAUAACAUUGAGCCGACCCCAAUACUGUCAUUUCUAAGAGGAAGCUUGUUUUGGCUUGAUUCACUUGUGAACUGAGAAAAUUCGCUGGUUAACAUAAUUACCAGCGCUAAACGUGCUCAGUAACUUGUGUUUUUGGCAAAUUUUAAAAGCCUUUUACGAGUCACAGUCAAAUGUGUUGACAUACAACAAAACAAUACUACUACUAUCCAUCGUUAAUUAAUAUAUUUCACAUCAUAAACACUGUUUUCAAUGAAAUAUUCCAUCUUUUGCUGCUUUUUCGUUCCUGGAAGAAGAUGGGAGAUUCUAAGAGGAUUGAGGGGGUCUCUGCAGAGAAUGAUCUCUGUCAGCUCCCUCCAGAGACUUCUGGCCGACGAAUCCUCCUUGAUUAUACAUUCAUGAUUUAUUUUUAAGCCCAAAAAACAUCUGCUUCUCCUAUUUAAAUCUCUACAAACAAAAGAAAAAUCUAAUUCACUGCAUGGCGUGGGUAACACCUUUAAUAAAGGAUACAAGUCGGAAGAAGAGUCCGCUCUUGAAACUCACGCUCGAUCUAGCAGACAAUGGGGGCUAUGACAGGAGACCAUAGUCACAGUGCUGUUUCAUAUACACUACCUCGUCUCCUCUGCCAUCAAGAUCUGGCUCUGAAUCGAUUGCAUGCGUCUGGUGAAUGCGCCAGGAGACGUUGACAAUUGAAACAAAGCUCUGAAAGGGCCAAAUAAUUGAUCAUAGCUCAGGGUCUGGUUAAUUCAGGGCGCACUAUACAAAACUCAUGUGUCGUUUCUCGACCAAUCACGUCUCGUCUCCACAGGGUAGAUAUCGACCAGUGUGUUAAUGAAAAAAAGAGCUAUUCAGAAGCUCGCAGGUUGUUACCAAUUGUGUAAAUCUUCGAACGUGUGCACACAUAAUACCUGUCUCCUUUCUUUUAAAUGGAGCUGCUCUUGGAAAUGGCUCGUCACAGCUGCCUCUUGUCUGUUUAACAAUACUUUUCCCGCAGCUGCGAUAGGAAUAUGCUUCUUGGUCUCAGCAACGGAGACAGUAUUUUGUAUUGAUAGGCCAGAACCGACACAAGCAAUUACGCCGGCCAUUAUCGCUUUAAUCCAUGCAAGUGAACGUGUGUACCAAUAUCAUUUAAAUAUAUCCCCCUGAUAAAGAGUAUAACACGUUUGGGGCUCAUGCAAAUAAGCGUAUCAAGACUUGGGGUCGAUAUUCACACCAACGGAUUAAAAUCUCGUUUGUCUAGCGCAGGUUGUUUAAUAAAAUGUCAUGCCUUGCGUUCGUGGCCAGUGUUUACAGCAUUUAUCUACCUGUUACCUGAAAAUUGGUCUCGUGCAAGGGCUUCCAAAACCCAUCCCCAGCCCAUCCCACUUUGGAAUGCUUAUGUGAGUGAGGAGCAUAGAACAAAGCCCCUUAACGCUCGGUUGCUCAACAUUCAGAGGGGUGUGACACCCCUAAGCUAUUACAUUGCACAAAUGUUCUACGGUCGAGCCUUUGGAAGGGCAAACACGCCCGCACGUGCAAAGAGGGCAGCCUUGAUCGAUAAGAUCAAGAGCUCAUUGGUGUAAACCCACGUUUUCUCUUAGGAAACACGACAAAUGAGGCUCCUUGUUUCGUCUGAUGGUGCCGUGAGGUCUGCACAGUCCAAAAGACCUCCUGGGAAACACGAUUACUCAACCAUUCUAUACGAGUCUUUAGAAAUCUGAUAGGGUUCUUUAUGACACAAGGAGCACACACGGUAAAGUCAAAAGCCCCGUUAGUUAUAUUAUUCCACGACACAAGACAAACGCCCUGAAGUUUGAGCCUUCGUUGAGGAGAGAGGAAGCAAACAUGAUCCGGUUCUUUUUUCAGAGCGAUUAUAUUUUGCGCAGCUCAUUAAUCUUUAAUUUGCCAAUAAUACCGAGCUACGAAAAGUCGAGCAGUUUUAUGUAAAUUAAGUCUCCCGCGCAGUGAGACCACAUUCACUCUUUUGUUAAAUUCAAAUGUAACAAAAGGCCGUACAGUUUAUCCCCAUGACGAAUUAUAUUUUUCAUAAAUUUACUUAUCAAAGAGAUUAUGCCACUUAACUUUCCCAAAAAUAAAUAUCACACAAGUAA
rnacentral:lncRNA from 1 species